GCCAGUGUGGAAGCGGUGGCACACGCCUGUAGUCUCAGCUACUCACGAGGCUGAGACAGGAGGAUUGCUUGAGUCCAGGAGUUCUGGGCUGUAGUGUGCUCUGCCGAUCGGGUGUCUGCACUAAGUUCAGCAUCAGUAUGGUGAUCUUCCGGGAGAGGGGAGCCACCAGGUUGCCUAAGGAGGGGUGAACAGACCCAGGUUGGAAAUGGAGCAGGUCAAAACUCCCACGCUGAUCAGUAGUGGGAUUGCACCUGUGAAUAGCCACUGUACUCCAGCCUGCACAACAUAGUGAGAUACCAUCUCUU
rfam:Otolemur garnettii contig129802, whole genome shotgun sequence.